GUGAAGCAGAAGAUUAUUUAAUCUAUUUAUGGGGGCCGCACAAAAUUAAGAAGUUUCCGACAACACGACGGAGCUAAUAAAAAAAAACAAGGGCAAAAGAGUUCCUGUUUAGAGGGAAAGAGGGUUUUAGAUCUGUCUCUCUCUCUUUUCACUUUCACAUUUCUGUCUGGAAAGUCACAGCUAAACUAAAUCUCGAUUGAAAGCGUUGUCGUUGCAGAGUCAAAAGCCGUUCGUUCGUUCUUUUUGGCCCUCGCUUCAAUUCUAGCUCUUUUCCUUGGCGGGAAUUCGAUUCCCCAGCUUCCAUUUUUGAUCGUUAGAAGCAAAAAUAUUUGAAGCGUUGAUUGAUGUGAUCAAAGAGAGAAAAAGAGAUGGGAUUGUCGGAUAAUUCGAAGGGAUUGAUAUUAGCAGUGGCGUCGAGCGCGUUUAUCGGCUCCAGUUUUAUUUUGAAGAAGAAAGGGCUCAAGCGUGCCGGUGCUUCGGGUACUCGCGCAGGAGUUGGCGGUUAUACCUACUUACUAGAGCCGCUUUGGUGGGCAGGCAUGAUAACAAUGAUUAUCGGCGAGGUUGCAAAUUUUGUGGCUUAUAUCUAUGCUCCUGCAGUUCUAGUUACCCCACUUGGUGCACUAAGUAUUAUUGUGAGUGCCUGUCUGGCACACUUUAUGCUGAAGGAACGAAUUCAGAAAAUGGGGAUUGUAGGAUGUGUGUCCUGCGUUGUAGGUUCAGUGGUGAUUGUAAUUCACGCACCACAAGAGCAUACUCCAAGUUCGGUACAAGAAAUUUGGACCCUAGCAACACAACCAGCUUUUCUAAUUUAUGUAGCAGCUACACUUUCAAUAGUCUUAGCUUUGGUUUUGCAUUUUGAACCUCGUUAUGGGCUCACAAAUAUACUGGUUUAUUUGGGAAUAUGUUCCUUAAUGGGUUCUCUUACGGUUGUAAGCAUCAAAGCCAUUGGAAUUGCUAUAAAGCUUACAUUGGAUGGGAUAAGUCAGAUAGCUUAUCCUCAAACUUGGUUUUUUCUUACAGUUGCUGCAAUCUGUGUCAUUACACAAUUAAAUUACCUCAACAAGGCCUUGGAUACAUUCAAUGCUGCGAUUGUUUCUCCAGUAUAUUAUGUGAUGUUCACAACUUUGACCAUUAUUGCUAGUGUAAUCAUGUUUAAGGACUGGUCAGGCCAAAAUGUGAGCAGUAUUGCUUCUGAGAUAUGUGGAUUCAUCACUGUGCUCUCUGGAACAAUCAUACUUCAUGCAACAAGAGAACAGGAACCACCUCCUCCAGUAGCCAGAUCAAGAGAAAAUUGAUAUCCUGGUGAACAAUCAUUUUGCUACUAGUAAUUUUGCGCUGUUAUUGUCAUCUUUGGAACCGUGACAUGGUAUGUUAGUGGUGAUUCCAUGAAGAGUCCUGAGGAUGAACAUUUAAUCACAAUGCGGAGUUCAGAUUAUUAUGAGCCAUGAGUUUUCUUUGCAAGAUGAGUGUUCUGAUCUUCCUGUAUUGGCCCAACAUUGAUCUGGAUAGAAUAUUUGGAAAGCAAGAGAAUUCCUUUAUUCUCCAAACAAAAUUUGGGGGUGUCGACAAAAGCCAGAAAGGUAGUUUACUUGAUACCUUCCCUGACGACUAGCAAAGGAGACCCCAAUUGGAAUCAGUUAAUGCGUCCUGAAUUCUGGCAUUAUUGUCAACUUGCAGUAUCAAUUCCCAUUUCACAGUGGUGAUCUUACUUCCUUUGCUGCGAUGAUAGUCCAUCUCAUUUGUACAUAAAGAAAGCUAUUCUUUUCCCCCCCUUUUUUUUUUCUUUUGGUCAAGGGUUGAGGGGUUGCAAUGAUUCGGGUUUGGUUUGUUGAUUCUUUCUCAUUUUUCUUUUAUGUGUCAAAUUCUUUUUGUUUAAUAGCCUUGAAGCAUAGAAAAAUCUUAGCCGUGGUUGAUCCAAAUGAAGCUUUGGGUGAACUGAAAUCAAGUUUUUGAUUAUCCGUCCAUAACGUUCCAAAUCUUUGGAUUCCAGGAACCAGCUUUAGAAGUAAGCAAAGCAGUCUCCUUUUUCAAAAGUGAGGCUGAGAAUGAGAUGGCUGUCGUUUUACAAAAACAAUUCAAGCAGAGGAGCCGCAUCCAUCCGAUGUCUGGCACACUGCUUAAUCUAAUGGGCUACAAUUAGAAUCUAAACUGUUUAGAAGCUUUAAGAUUAAUUACCGUGUAAGCCAUGCCAUGCCAACUUUGAGAUUUUUAAUUAGAAUUACUUUUAACAAUUUUCCUUACCUGCAUUCAGUAAAAUUGUUUAAAAUAUUUUAUCUAUAUUGGUACAUUCUUCUUAAGUAUGUCAAAAAUAAAUUUUUUUGAAAUUCCA